rnacentral:rRNA from 1 species
CUACGGGGUGCACCAGUGGGGAAUUUUGGACAAUGGGCGCAAGCCUGAUCCAGCCAUUCCGCGUGAGUGAAGAAGGCCUUCGGGUUGUAAAGCUCUUUCGCAAGGGAAGAAAACUUAUCCUCUAACAUAGGGUGAGGUUGACGGUACCUUGAUAAGAAACACCGGCUAACUACGUGCCAGCAGCCGCGGUAAUACGUAGGGUGCGAGCGUUAAUCGGAAUUACUGGGCGUAAAGCGUGCGCAGGCUGUUUUGUAAGUCAGAUGUGAAAUCCCCGAGCUCAACUUGGGAACUGCGUUUGAAACUACAAGACUAGAAUAUGUCAGAGGGGGGUAGAAUUCCACGUGUAGCAGUGAAAUGCGUAGAGAUGUGGAGGAAUACCAAUGGCGAAGGCAGCCCCCUGGGAUAAUAUUGACGCUCAUGCACGAAAGCGUGGGGAGCAAACAGGAUUAGAUACCCGCGUAGUC